rnacentral:rRNA from 1 species
ACGCUUGAAGUCAGUCACGUCUGCCAGGACUCAGCCUUGCUUCCGCUUGGUGCACUUUCUGGUUUGAUGGGCCAACAUCAAUUCUGACCGUUGGAGAAAGGUUUUGGGAAUGUGGCACCUUCGGGUGUGUUAUAGCCCUUUGUCAUAUACAACGGUUGGGAUUGAGGACUGCAGCACGCCUUCAUGGCCGGGGUUUAUGCCUACGUACGUGCUUAGGAUGUUGGCAUAAUGGCUUUAAGCGACCCGUCUUGAAACACGGACCAAGGAGUC